rnacentral:rRNA from 1 species
GAUGAACGCUGGCGGCGUGCCUAAUACAUGCAAGUCGAGCGAACGGACGAGAAGCUUGCUUCUCUGAUGUUAGCGGCGGACGGGUAAGUAACACGUGGAUAACCUACCUAUAAGACUGGGAUAACUUCGGGAAACCGGAGCUAAUACCGGAUAAUAUUUUGAACCGCAUGGUUCAAAAGUGAAAGACGGUCUUGCUGUCACUUAUAGAUGGAUCCGCGCUGCAUUAGCUAGUUGGUAAGGUAACGGCUUACCAAGGCAACGAUGCAUAGCCGACCUGAGAGGGUGAUCGGCCACACUGGAACUGAGACACGGUCCAGACUCCUACGGGAGGCAGCAGUAGGGAAUCUUCCGCAAUGGGCGAAAGCCUGACGGAGCAACGCCGCGUGAGUGAUGAAGGUCUUUGGAUCGUAAAACUCUGUUAUUAGGGAAGAACAUAUGUGUAAGUAACUGUGCACAUCUUGACGGUACCUAAUCAGAAAGCCACGGCUAACUACGUG